rnacentral:rRNA from 1 species
UACAGAGGUCUCAAGCGUUGUUCGGAUUCAUUGGGCGUAAAGGGCGCGUAGGCGGUGCGGUAAGUCACCUGUGAAACCUCUAGGCUCAACCUAGAGCCUGCAGGCGAAACUGCCGUGCUUGAGGGUGGGAGAGGUGCGUGGAAUUCCCGGUGUAGCGGUGAAAUGCGCAGAUAUCAGGAGGAACACCAAUUGCGAAGGCAGCUCGCUGGGACGUUACUGACGCUGGAGAACGCGAAAGCGUGGGGAGCAAACAGG